GACGAACGCUGGCGGCGUGCUUAACACAUGCAAGUCGAACGAUGAAGGGGAGCUUGCUUCCUGGAUUAGUGGCGAACGGGUGAGUAACACGUGAGUAACCUGCCCUGGACUCUGGGAUAACCCCGAGAAAUCGGAGCUAAUACCGGAUAGGACCUGGAACCGCAUGGUUUUGGGUGGAAAGUUUUUCGGUCUGGGAUGGA
rnacentral:rRNA from 1 species